UACAGAGGGUGCGAGCGUUAAUCGGAAUUACUGGGCGUAAAGCGUGCGUAGACGGUUAUUUAAGUCGGGUGUGAAAGCCCCGGGCUCAACCUGGGAAUUGCAUUCGAGACUGAAUAGCUAGGGUACGGUAGAGGGAAGCGGAAUUUCCGGUGUAGCGGUGAAAUGCGUAGAUAUCGGAAGGAACAUCAGUGGCGAAAGCGGCUUCCUGGACCAGUACCGACGUCAGGCACGAAAGCGUGGGGAGCGAACAGG
rnacentral:rRNA from 1 species